CCUACGUGAGGCUGCAGUGAGGAAUAUUGGUCAAUGGGCGGAAGCCUGAACCAGCCAAGUCGCGUGAGGGAAUAAGGCCCUACGGGUCGUAAACCUCUUUUGCCGGGGAGCAAGGGCCGGGACGCGUCCCGGCCCGGAGAGUACCCGGAGAAAAAGCAUCGGCUAACUACGUGCCAGCAGACGCGGUAAUACGGAGGAUGCGAGCGUUAUCCGGAUUUAUUGGGUUUAAAGGGUGCGUAGGCGGGCUGUUAAGUCAGCGGUAAAAAUUCGGGGCUCAACCCCGUCCGGCCGUUGAAACUGGGGGCCGUGAGUGGGCGAGAGGAAGGCGGAAUGCGUGGUGUAGCGGUGAAAGGCAUAGAUAUUAGGAAGAACACCAGUGGCGAAGGCGGCUUGCUGGACAGUAACUGACGUUGAGGCUCGAAAGCGUGGGGAGCAAACAGGAUUAGAUACCCCAGUAGUC
rnacentral:rRNA from 1 species